CAUCAUUUAGGAUGGUUGGUAUGGCAAUCAAACUACUUGAUAGAAGAUUUGAUGACAAACACAUUUUCCCAUGUUUACAGAUUGAGUGAGAUUUUGGGUUUAGUUGGAAGGUUGUCCUUUCACCUAGCAUGGGACAGGGGCGGGCUUAAAGGCUUCACACUGCAGACACCGCCCAUCCAGGAAGUCGCUGUAGGAGGAGCAAGGGUAGCCUGUGAGGCUGCAGGUCCGGUUGAGAGCACACAGGUACAGGAACACAGAGCGCUGGUGGUCACACACAAAAUACGACUUCCCUACGAAAGAGAAAAGCUGGAAAAGCUGUAGAAGCAUUAAGACGCGGAUCAGUGAGCACCGCCGCAUAUAAGGACAGGAAGUGUCACUGAGUACUGCCCAUAUAUAUAUAUAUAGGACCUUCCACCCCAACCUGGGAUACGGAUGCCUGAUGAAGACCUACGUGUCAAAAACAUUCUUAUAAUAAAAUCACCGGGCAACAUGA